AUCCCAGCACUCAGGAGGCUAAGGCAGGAGGAUUGAGAAUUUGAGGCUAGCUUAGGCUCUGUACCAAGAUCCUGUGUCAAACAAUACUCACAAAAUAUAAAUAAACAAAUUCUACAAAUUCAUUCAAAAGAAAAGAAUUCAUCUUAGAUUCUUAAAGAGUAUAUUGAAAAAAUUCUAAGCUCGGCAACUAUUUAUUUGCUUAUUUAGUCAUUCAUUCAUUCAUUCAUUCAUCCAUUCACUUCCUCAUCUAUCUAUCUAUCUAUCUAUCUAUCUAUCUAUCUAUCUAUCUAUCUGUCAAUCUAUAAUCUGUCUGUCUGAAAUAGGUUUCAUUAUGUAGCCCUGAGUGACCUCAAACUUGCUUAUGUAGAACAGGCUGGCUUUGAACUCACAGAGAUCAGCCUGCUACUACCACCCACUGCUGGGAUGAAAGGCAUGCAUCAACUGGGCCUGGCUCCCAGCCAUCAUUUUUAGGUUAGUCACUAAAGAUACAGCUAAAAAGCAAAAAUGUAAAAGAUAAAAAAAGAAAAGGUCUCAUCAGAUAAUUCCGGAACAAAAGAGAGGUAAAAUAGCUACAGUAAUACCAGACAGGAUGAACUUAAAACAGAAGGGACAGAGCGGCCUCUGGCAGCAGUGGUUCGGUUAUCCAGAGAUAAAACAGUUCUACGUGUGUGUGCAUCUAAUUGCCUCCAUAUACAAACCAGAAAGCGAUGGAACUGAGCAGGCCAGGAGGACAGGGGAAAUCACAGGGACAAGAGAGGAGCCUUCUCACCUUAAAGUCUGCUUCUUUCUCACCAGCAAGAAUUUCAACACAGUUGAUAAAAUGUUCAGAGAAGGCCUACAUGGAGACAAAGCCUUUUGUAUAGAGGUAUUACAGAUACUGCUAAUAUUGUGGGAACCUUGCAUAAGGCCCAAGAGUGUGUGGCCUUUGAGUAUAGCUCUGGUUUUUUUUCCCCACAUAUAAACCUGAAAUUUUCUGAGAAUCUCAAACAAGACUAUACCCUUGAUUUACGAUUUUUUAUAAAAGAUUUAUUUAUUUUAUGUAUAUGGGUAUACUGUAGCUGUUUUCAGACACACCAGAAUAGGGCAUCAGAUCCCAUUACAGAUGGUUGUAGGCCACCAUGUGGUUGCUGGGAUUUGAACUCAGGACCUCUGGAAGAGCAGUCAGUGCUCUUAACCGCUGAGCCAUCUCUCCAGCCCCUGAUUUAUGAUUUUUAAAAAGUGUCUGAAUUCUUUUUUAUGACCCUUGUGACCUAUGCUUUUUCCUUACCAGCUGCAGUUCUGCUCAGUACUCCUAAGGACUUACUAAGGAGGAAAAAAAAAAAAACAUGAAAAGGUUUCUUUGCAACCCUUCGAGGUGUAACUUCAGAUGCCCCUAAACUGCACGUAUGGCUGUUACAGAGAGCUUACGUACUUUCUCCUGAGAGCCCAUACCAGUACUGGAGUGUAGUGCCCUUUCUAAAGCUCACCCAUGCUUAAGUGUGUCUUAGUAACCUUUCCUAAUACUACCUCAUACCUCCUUGUGUCGAAGCUAUUAUUUGCUGCUAAGUGUAGGCUCUUGGCUUUACCUGACUAUGGAGUGGUCUGGUCUGUCAGAGACUCCUUGGGCCACUCCAAGUGGCAAGGUAGCACCACCUCUGAUCAAGCUGCUCCUGACAGAAAUGGUGAUAGCAGGGAAUUUCAGGCUUCUCUUCAUUAUUGAUGAGGAAACAAAAUGGUUAUAAGUAUAAAGUGAUAAAAAGCAAGUGAAAAAUCCAGUUUCUCUCUAGGCCUGGUGGCGUGGGCCUACUUGGGAAGCUGAAGCAAGAAGGUUGCAGUAAUUAAGAUCCUGUCUGGGUUUUAGACCCAGUAUUGGGGUUGGGGGAGGGAUUUAUUUUAAAGAAUAAUGAAUCCAGCUUCUCAGCUGAAUUGACUGUAUUUCAGGGGCUGCACGGGACUAAUGGCUGCUGGAGCAGACAGCACAAAAACUGUUUCCACAUUACUCCAGUUUGGAUGGCUCAGAUCAGCACCUUAUUCAGGGUACACGUUGAGCAGCACACCCAAGGUGCAGAGCCCUGUACUGAACACAGUGCAAGUCAACGAGAAGUGAGAUUACAAAAUGGCCAGCUAAGGACCAGCAGAUUUCUUACUCAGAAUAAAAACAGAGAUAAUUAUGGAGUAAAAAUAGACUCCAUUAUAUUAAAGACUUCGCAUCAAAGGGCACCCUUGAACUUUGUUCAGACUGAUGUAACAAAGUCCUACUUACGCAGUGGCUUAAACAACAGAAACGGAUUUUCUCCUAGUUCUGAAGGCCAGAAAUUCAAAGUCAGGGUACCACCUAAUUGACUGAUGAGUUAUUGCUUCUGGACUGGAUGCCGCAGCAUCAUGGGGUGGGAGGAGAGGGAGGAAGGGAGGGAUGGGGGUCGAGGAAGAGAAAGCUGUCUUUUCCUAGAAGGUUAGAAUCCUUUCUGAGUAGAGCCCCAUCCCCUUGAUCUUAACCUUAGUUACCUCAAGGUUCUCAUUCCAGAGUGAUCAGUGGGUUAGCAGUGCAGGCUUUAGGUUUUAGGGCCUUGGUAUAUAAAUGUGAGUGGGUGGGAGAUGAAGAAAGUUCAUCAACAGCACACACCGUAUGAGAGAAGGAAGACAAUCUGCAGGGUGCAAGAAGACAGAGUGCAUGCAUUUGAUAGAACUUGCACCUAGACUACAAGCCAAACAAAACUUGCCAACUAAUCAUAAAAAGAAACAACG
rnacentral:lncRNA from 1 species